GUUGGGUUCCUUCUGGCUUUCAUGGCCUCUUGCUUCUGCUUCAGAGUUCAUACAGAUGCUUUCACGUUCAGACUUAUGGUGCCUCUUUCUUAGGAUGAUACUCACAUGCUUCAACCAUUGUCCAGGACUUAGUUCUGCCCCUUCCCAUGUCCUAUUUGUCCAACAACAAGAAUGACCUCUCAGUUCCAGAUCACUAGUCCUAGGUCUCUGGCCAGAAAGGCAUAGGCAUGUCUAAAUCAGGGCCAAACGGUUUCAGUCAACCCAGGUCUAUGCCCAAGUUCAGCAAGAAGUGGCCUGAUUGGUUAUAGUAGGGGGCAUUGGACCUGCAGGAAACCUUAACAAACCUCCAAUCCCAUUUCUGUGGGUUGUUUUUUUUAUUAGGUACCAGGAAUCUAACUCAGGACCUUGUGCUUGCCAGGCAGGCGCGGUGCCACUGAGCUACAUCCCCGGCCCCAACCUCAUUUUUUAGUUGCUUGCUUUUAGUUUGCUUUAAUAAUCGCCACUUUAAUAUAUUUGGCUGGUAUAUUAUCAGUGACCCAUUAGCUUUGCUAACAGUGGCCUGGGUUAUUUUGCAGGAGCUCGAAGGUCACUCUUACUGAAACCUGACUCUACACAUGGGGCCUGUGCAGGUGUUUGAUGGGUGAGCUUUCAACGUCAGAGGACCCAAAUCUCCACCCUGAAGUCACAUCGAUGCUACCACUUCCUGAAUGCUUCCCAAGAAGAAUUAUGAAAAUUGAUUAUUUAUACAAAAACUACCAAGCACUUCACCUCCAAUCACCUCUCCCCAGGCUUCCAUCACCCCACUUCCCACCAGUACCCAUCGAUGUUACCUGCAGUCUCCUGUCACCUCACAUGUGACCAGCUCAUAAGGAAACUGUCACUCUUUGGCAAAAUUAUUGUUUUAGUGACAGGCAGACUGCACAGCAGGCCAAACGGGCCUGGGUCCAUAAUGUUGGCUUCUGUAAAUAUGGGGCAGUCACUGUUUUCAUGACAUAAAAGGGAGGUCAUGGGUGGAGGACACAGGGCUGUGGCUUGGGAGGCUGAGUGUCCAACCUGGCCUCAUGCAAAUCAGUGUCCUGUGGAAGGGCAACUCAGUGAGAAAAUGAGGGCGGUCAGCCGGGUUUCCUCCCUCCCUAAGAGCCUCAAUUUAAAAUGCCCAAACUCUAAAAGUGAAUUCAGUCCCUUUGAAGAGUUACCCUCAAAUAAAAUAUUAACUUGUAAGUAAAAAUGACUCAUUUCUUUGCAGCGUAAUACUCUGAUGAAAUACUCACUUUAAUCUUAAUUUGCCCAAUAAAUUUAAUGGUUCUGAGGGUUAACUUGAUAGAGUAUGAAGGGGAAGAAUGAAUAUAACUCUAGCUGGCAAAAGAAACCUCACCUGUCCAUAUUCAAAAGCAGAAA
rnacentral:lncRNA from 1 species